rnacentral:rRNA from 1 species
CUGGGCUACACGCGGGCUACAAUGGGUGGGACGAAUGGGUAUCGACACCGAAAGGGUGAAGGCAAUCUCCUAAACCCAUCCGUAGUUCGGAUUGUGGGCUGCAACUCGCCCACAUGAAGCUGGAAUCUGUAGUAAUCGUGUCUCAAAUGGCACGGUGAAUAUGUCCCUGCUCCUU